UACGAAGGGGGCUAGCGUUGCUCGGAAUCACUGGGCGUAAAGGGUGCGUAGGCGGGUCUUUAAGUCAGGGGGGAAAUCCUGGAGCUCAACUCCGGAACUGCCUUUGAUACUGAAGAUCUUGAGUUCGGGAGAGGUGAGUGGAACUGCGAGUGUAGAGGUGAAAUUCGUAGAUAUUCGCAAGAACACCAGUGGCGAAGGCGGCUCACUGGCCCGAUACUGACGCUGAGGUGCGAAAGCGUGGGGAGCAAACAGG
rnacentral:rRNA from 1 species